GUUCCUGUAGUUAAAUAUUAAUAACAACGGCUUUUCAGGCCGUAGUUCUCGGGUAAGGGCCGAGUGGGAAUU
rnacentral:tRNA from 2 species